rnacentral:rRNA from 1 species
GCAGUCGAGCGACGCAUGCCCAGUUCGUAAGAACAGGGUAUGACGGAGCGGCGAACGGGUGAGUAACACGUGAGCAACCUGCCCCACAGACCGGGAUAGCCCAAGGAAACUUGGAUUAAUACCGGAUUCCCUCGAACAACCGCAUGGUUGAUCGAGGAAAUGCCUUUGUGCUGUGGGAUGGGCUCGCGGCUUAUCAGCUAGUUGGUGGGGUAAAGGCCUACCAAGGCAUCGACGAGUAGCUGGUCUGAGAGGACGAUCAGCCACACUGGAACUGAGACACGGUCCAGACUCCUACGGGAGGCAGCAGCAGGGAAUCUUGCGCAAUGGGCGAAAGCCUGACGCAGCAACGCCGCGUGGGGGAUGAAGGCCUUCGGGUUGUAAACCCCUUUCAGGAGGGAAGAAAUUGACGGUACCUCCAGAAGAAGGACCGGCCAACUACGUGCCAGCAGCCGCGGUAAUACGUAGGGUCCUAGCGUUAUCCGGAAUCAUUGGGCGUAAAGAGCUCGUAGGCGGUUCAGCAAGUCGGCUGUGAAAGUCCGAGGCUUAACCUCGGAAUUGCAGUCGAUACUGCUGUGACUCGAGUCCGGUAGAGGAGAAUGGAAUUCUCGGUGUAGCGGUGAAAUGCGCAGAUAUCGAGAGGAACACCAGUAGCGAAGGCGGUUCUCUGGGCCGGCACUGACGCUGAGGAGCGAAAGCGUGGGGAGCAAACAGGAUUAGAUACCCUGGUAGUCCACGCCGUAAACGUUGGAUACUAGGUGUGGCGGUUGUACCAACGACUGCCG